ACCUUUGUGCUUUUGAAACUCGCUCUCUCCCCGGUAUCUCACCACUGCGUCAGUGCAGGAUGCCGGAAGAACACCAUCCUCCCCCUCCGCGGGAGGCGGAAAUGCUCCAGUGGGAAGCCCGCCCUUUACCAGACAAAGGGCUCAGAGGGAGCAACCCGCCUCCGCCGCCGACUCCACUAUUCUGCCCCUCCCACGUGGGACGAUCGCCAGCAGCUUUUGCAGGUCCUGUUCACGACUGAAGAAAGAGAAAGAAUCCUCAGUGGGGCCUGAAAGCUAGUUCCAGGCGCAGACGGGAAUCCCACCACCAACCAGGCUCAGAUAGAUGCCUUCAACACCGCAGAAGGUAAGGAGAGGCUCCAGGUCUACCGCCAGACUCUAAUGGGGGGUCUCCGAAUGGCUGCUAGGAAGCC